rnacentral:rRNA from 1 species
UGGGGAAUUUUUCGCAAUGGGCGAAAGCCUGACCCAGCAACGCCGCGUGUGGGAUGAAGGCCCUCGGGUCGUAAACCACUGUCAGGAGGAAAGAAAAGUCGGCCGGAUAAUACUCGGUCGACCUGACGGUACCUCCAAAGGAAGCACCGGCUAACUCCGUGCCAGCAGCCGCGGUAAUACGGAGGGUGCAAGCGUUGUUCGGAAUUACUGGGCGUAAAGCGCACGCAGGCGGUCCUUUAAGUCCACUGUUAAAUCCCGGGGCUCAACCCCGGAGAUGCAGUGGAUACUGAGGGACUGGAGACCGGUAGAGGCUAGCGGAAUUCCUGGUGUAGCGGUGGAAUGCGUAGAUAUCAGGAGGAACACCGGUGGCGAAGGCGGCCCACUGGCUCGGUACUGACACUGAGGUGCGAAAGCGUGGGGAGCAAACAGGAUUAGAUACCCGUGUAGUCCCUGAGCGGGCUGGCAAGGCGCAU